UACGUAGGGUGCAAGCGUUGUCCGGAAUUAUUGGGCGUAAAGAGCUCGUAGGCGGUUUGUCGCGUCUGGUGUGAAAAUCCAGGGCUUAACCCUGGACCUGCAUCGGGUACGGGCAGACUAGAGUGCGGUAGGGGAGAUCGGAAUUCCUGGUGUAGCGGUGAAAUGCGCAGAUAUCAGGAGGAACACCGAUGGCGAAGGCAGGUCUCUGGGCCACUACUGACGCUGAGAAGCGAAAGCAUGGGGAGCGAACAGG
rnacentral:rRNA from 1 species